rnacentral:rRNA from 1 species
UACGGGGGGGGCAAGCGUUGUUCGGAAUUACUGGGCGUAAAGGGCGCGUAGGCGGCCUACUAAGUCGGACGUGAAAUCCCUCGGCUCAACCGGGGAACUGCGUCCGAUACUGGUGGGCUCGAAUCCGGGAGAGGGAUGUGGAAUUCCAGGUGUAGCGGUGAAAUGCGUAGAUAUCUGGAGGAACACCGGUGGCGAAGGCGGUUGCCUGGAGCUUUGCUGACGCUGAUGCGCGAAAGCGUGGGGAGCGAUCCGG